GUACUACUCCUUCCGUUUCGAAUUACUUGUCGCAGGUAUGGAUGUAUCUAGAAAUCUAGAUACAUCCAUACCUGCGACAAGUAAUUCGGAACGGAGGGAGUAGCUA
rfam:Triticum aestivum genome assembly, contig: Triticum_aestivum_CS42_TGACv1_scaffold_307033_4AS